rnacentral:lncRNA from 1 species
CUGUUUCUGGUCUAUUUGUGGUCUGUUUCUGGUCUGUUUCUUGUCUAUCUGUCUUUGGUGUAUGUGAAAUAUUGUGUUGAUGUUCGAAAUAUCUUUCUUUGUGUAUUGUGUAUUGUUUCAAUGUUAAUGUGAAACAUAGUUUCAAUGUUCGAAAUAUCUUUCUUUGUGUAUUGUGUAUUGUUUCAAUGUUAAUGUGAAAUAUAGUUUCAAUGUUCGAAAUAUCUUUCUUUGUGUAUUGUGUAUUGUUUCAAUGUUAAUGUGAAAUAUAGUUUCAAUGUUCGAAAUAUCUUUCUUUGGACUUGUUCACUGAUGGAUUUACAUGUAUAUGAUUGCAGGAGAUGCUUCACGUCUUCAAGAGAUGGUGUCAUUAAGCAAGAGAAGUCACGGGUUGUGUACGUGUACUCAAGUGAAGUGGCGAUGUUUGUCUGUUAGUGUCACAACUUGUUUGUAGUUUACUAUCACAAGCUCUGCUACAAGCUAGUUGUUUGUAGUUUAGUGUCACAAGCUGUCUGUAACAAAUAAUUCAAGCUAGUUGUUUGUAUUAUUAAACGCUUCAAGUUGCUUCUUAUAUAACAAAUGCUUAUCCUUCUCUUAUGUAACAAAUAACAAACUCUUUUCUCCUUCUCUUAUGUAACAAAUAACAAACUCUUUUCUCCUUCUCUUAUGUAACAAAUAACAAACUCUUUUCUCCUUCUCUUAUGUAACAAAUAACAAACACUUCAAGUUGCUUCAACUCAUCAGAAACUCAAAUAAUUCAAAUGCUUCUCCUUCUUUAUGUAACAAAUAAUUCAAGCUACUUGUUUCAACUCAUCAGAAAC